UACGUAGGGUCCGAGCGUUGUCCGGAAUUAUUGGGCGUAAAGGGCUCGUAGGCGGUUCGUCACGUCGGGAGUGAAAACUCGGGGCUUAACCCCGAGCCUGCUUCCGAUACGGGCAGACUAGAGGUAGGCAGGGGAGAGCGGAACCCCUGGUGUAGCGGUGGAAUGCGCAGAUAUCAGGAAGAACACCGGUGGCGAAGGCGGCUCUCUGGGCCUUACCUGACGCUGAGGAGCGAAAGCGUGGGUAGCGAACAGG
rnacentral:rRNA from 1 species